rnacentral:rRNA from 1 species
AGUGAACGCUGGCGGUAGGCCUAACACAUGCAAGUCGAACGGCAGCACAGUAAGAGCUUGCUCUUACGGGUGGCGAGUGGCGGACGGGUGAGGAAUACAUCGGAAUCUACUUUUUCGUGGGGGAUAACGUAGGGAAACUUACGCUAAUACCGCAUACGACCUACGGGUGAAAGCAGGGGAUCUUCGGACCUUGCGCGAUUGAAUGAGCCGAUGUCGGAUUAGCUAGUUGGCGGGGUAAAGGCCCACCAAGGCGACGAUCCGUAGCUGGUCUGAGAGGAUGAUCAGCCACACUGGAACUGAGACAGGGUCCAGACUCCUACGGGAGGCAGCAGUGGGGAAUAUGGGACAAUGGGGGCAAGCCUGAUCCAGCCAUACCGCGUGGGUGAAGAAGGCCUUCGGGUUGUAAAGCCCUUUUGUUGGGAAAGAAAAGCAGCAGGUUAAUACCCCGCUGUUCUGACGGUACCCAAAGAAUAAGCACCGGCUAACUUCGUG